GUCUCACAGUUUGGAGGAUAGAAUGGGCAAAUGCUGAUUCCAAUUUAUUUCUGACAUUCUUGAACUUACCUCCCACAUGUGAAUCACAGCUUCUGCUGCAUGCCCACUCCUUUUACCUAAAUAUGCAGUUAUCAUCAUACAUCCAGAAUUGCCCUCUGAAAUAAUCACAGACUCCCACUGGCACAAAGAAGAACACAUCACCUAGUCUGGGAAAGAGGAGGAAGUAAGGAAAGUCUUCCAGGAGCCCACCAGACUUUAAGAAAAUGGCAUCUUCUACUUCCUGUUCCUUGGGAUGCUUACUCUUGGAGCACAGCUACUAAACUGUGAGAAGUGCAAUCCAUAUGG
rnacentral:sRNA from 1 species